AACAGGAUAUGAACCCUUGUCUUGAAAUUCUUUACCUUGAGUUGGGAUGAGUUUAACUGUAUGUGAUGAAAAGGUUCAAGUUUGGGGCUGCAUGGGGGAAAUUGAAUGGCUGUUAAGAAGCAUUGAGCUCAAAUGUGAAAAAGAAAAAUACAUGAGAAAAAGAAAAAUAAGAAAAAGCAUGAAGAUGAGCUUAAUGAAAAGAAAAAGGGAAAAAGUUGGGAAUGAGAGAGAUUGGUGAGAAAGAGAGUUGUGCUUAAAUGUUGAAUAUUAUGAUAGCUCUCUUAACUCAAGGAUUUUGUUUUCCAAAAAAAUAAAUUUUUCUUGUUAGCCCAACCUCAUUACAAGCCUUGGAAAAAUCCUUUUGAUGGCAUUUGCAUGUAAAGACGUUGAUUGUUUGAGAUGAAUGACAAUGUUAUUUCUUGUGACUUGUGAAUGAUGAAGAGUUGGAGUGUCACCUUAAACACUUGAGUGAUUGAGUGAAACACUUUCUUGGUAUGAAUUAUUAAUUUUCAUGAGUGCAUUUUUG
rnacentral:lncRNA from 1 species